rnacentral:rRNA from 1 species
GACGAACGCUGGCGGCGUGCUUAACACAUGCAAGUCGAGCGGAAGGGCCUCUUUCGGGGGGUACUCGAGUGGGGAACGGGCGGGUAACACGUGAGUAACCUGCCCUUGACUUUGGGAUAACUUCAGGAAAGUGGGGGUAGUACAUAAUAGGAGCUCCUGCUGCACGGUGGGUGUUGGAGAGUUUCGGGGGUUGGGGGUGGACUCGCGGCUUAUCCGCGUUGUGGUGGGGUAGUGGCUUACCAAGGCGUUGACGGGUCGCCCGCCUGUGGGGGUGACCGGCGAUAUUGAGACUGAGAGACGGCACAGACUCCUACGGUAGGCAGCAGUGGGGAAUCUUGCACAAUGGGUGGAAGCCUGAUGCAGCAACGCCGUGUGCGGGAUGACGGUCUUCGGGUUGUAAACCGUUUUCGCUCAUGACGAAGCUUUGUGUGACGGUAGUGGGUAAAGAAGCACCGGCUAACUACGUG